GGCAACAUUAUCAGUCAUUACUACCUUAAGACAAUAUUCUUCAUGCAAGAAGAGUAUACUGAAAAUGCCUUAAGAUAGCAGAUAUAUGAUGAUAAUAAUCAUAAUAAUUCUGCCUUAAGUAACCUGCAAAAGGGGACUCACCAUUUUGAAUUGCCAGUUCUGACUCAGCUUAGAAAUAAAUAGCAUGUCAUUCAAAGAAAAGGAUGGGGUUUUUUGUCUUUAUGGCAUUUAUCCAUACUUUGCCUUUAAGUAGCAUAAAAUAAAACUAUUUUCUAGUAAAAGAUAAUGAAUAAAUUUAGUCUGAUCUGAUCUGAUGAAAUAACUGGCUCUGAUUAAUAAGCAAUUGGUGAUGCAAGGCAUACUGAUGAUGCCAUCAAAUAUGAUUAUUUCCCUGGUUGGACUAAACCAGUGAGCCUCAUUCUGUACUAUACCUAGCAGAGCAUGACACAUAGGUUUUUACCAAAUUCAUGUUGACUGAAUGAUAGAAUGAUUAAUGGACACUAAAUAAAAGUCAAAUAGUCUCAGACACCUUUGAAAUGUAAUCAGUCUCAUCUUACCCAUAUGACUGCCAUAGCUAAGUGAUAUAAUCUCAUAUUACCUCUUUUACCUCUUUUAUAUUCCUACAUAAUAACAGUUUUGCUUUUCUUUCCUCUUCUAUUUCAGGUUCCAUCCUUAUCUCAUCCUUUCAUAUGAGAUGUUUUGGAAAUUCACCAUGGCAGAAUUUCCAGUGGGAUAUGAAGGAAAUGGAAAACCCAAAGACUUCUCCUUGCCCACUGCUUCACCAUUCUGACAUUGCUCUGAGCGAAUGAAUUCCUGAAUUCACAAUUCCUCUAAAAGUUGAAGGUAUAUUUAGUGAUUGCCCCGAAGAAUACAAAUGUGAAACAGAAAAAGAAGAUGAAGAUGAUCACUUAUAUAAUUUAAGGUAGGAAUAGAAAUGAUUUAUAGCCAGUAAUAGACUUUCCUUAUUAGUUUGGGGAUAAUGAGAAACUUUCAACACUUCUUUGGGAAAAAAAAAGAAAAAAAUGUAUUUUUUUUUUUAGUUAAAAAGGGACAUAUCUUCAAGGACAUAUAAUAAUAAAUGGAGGUGGACAAGACUGACCUACCUUAAG
rnacentral:lncRNA from 1 species